GAAUACGUUGUGUGUGCUAGCUAGCCUAAGCAGGUGCAGGUAGAGGAAUACGUUGUGUGUGCUAGCUAGCCUAAGCAGGUGCAGGUAGAGGAAUACGUUGUGUGUGCUAGCUAGCCUAAGCAGGUGCAGGUAGAGGAAUACGUUGUGUGUGCUAGCUAGCCUAAGCAGGUGCAGGUAGAGGAAUACGUUGUGUGUGCUAGCUAGCCUAAGCAGGUGCAGGUAGAGGAAUACGUUGUGUGUGCUAGCUAGCCUAAGCAGGUGCAGGUAGAGGAAUACGUUGUGUGUGCUAGCUAGCCUAAGCAGGUGCAGGUAGAGGAAUACGUUGUGUGUGCUAGCUAGCCUAAGCAGGUGCUGUAGGUAGGGGAAUACGUUGUGUGUGCUAGCUAGCCUAAGCGGGUAGCCAGGUGACAAAGCACUAGCACCUGUACUGCUGUCACACGCAUGGCAAAUGAACCACGGAGAAGUUAGAAGCUUGUAAGCAAGUUUUCUAUCUGUAACUCUAGAUAUUCACUGUCUUUGUUUUAUCUGAUUAAUGUUGUAUACAGGAAGCAGGUCGUUAUUCCUGUUAAUUCAGCACAGGAUGUUUGUCUGCAGGGUGCAAAUAUUUUUGGUGUAGUUUUAUUAUGGAGAUUUGUGGGGAAGGGUGGGGAGUUGGCAGGGGAAUUAGCUGAUAAGGAUGACCCAGGAAGUCACCAUUAUAGUGAGUACACUGUCAGCUUAAUGUCAAGUCUUGGUUAACACUUUAUGUCUGACCUGCAUUUGUAUCAGCAUAUCAUUCGUUGUGUAUAAAAUAAUUAUAUAUUAAUCACAGAGGGUUAAUUUACAGCAUAACAGCAUAAUCUAAAUCAUAUCUGUCUUUCUACAUAGACCAUCUUUUCUGUUUCUAUAAAGCAACGCUACAGUGCUGGUGUCUACCAAAUCAAAUUUUAUUUGUCACAUACACAUGGUUAGCAGAUGUUAAUGCGAGUGUAGCGAAAUGCUUGUACCAUUAGGCUGGUCUAGUCUGGUCUAGGGGAGAUGUGUUGGUGUCUACCAUUAGGCUGGUCUAGUCUGGUCUGGGGGAGAUGUGCUGGUGUCUACCAUUAGGCUGGUCUAGGGGAGAUGUGUUGGUGUCCACCAUUAGGCUGGUCUAGUCUGGUCUAGUCUGGUCUAGUCUGGUCUAGUCUGGUCUAGGGGAGAUGUGUUGGUGUCUACCAUUAGGCUGGUCUAGUCUGGUCUAGGGGAGAUGUGUUGGUGUCUACCAUUAGGCUGGUCUAGUCUGGUCUAGGGGAGAUGUGCUGGUGUCUACCAUUAGACUGGUCUAGGGGAGAUGUGUUGGUGUCCACCAUUAGGCUGGUCUAGUCUGGUCUAGGGGAGAUGUGUUGGUGUCUACCAUUAGGCUGGUCUAGGGGAGAUGUGUUGGUGUCUACCAUUAGGCUGGUCUAGUCUGGUCUAGGGGAGAUGUGUUGGUGUCUACCAUUAGGCUGGUCUAGUCUGGUCUAGGGGAGAUGUGUUGGUGUCUACCAUUAGGCUGGUCUAGGGGAGGUGUGUUGGUGUCUACCAUUAGGCUGGUCUAGUCUGGUCUAGGGGAGAUGUGUUGGUGUCUACCAUUAGGCUGGUCUAGGGGAGAUGUGCUGGUGUCUACCAUUAGGCUGGUCUAGGGGAGAUGUGUUGGUGUCUACCAUUAGGCUGGUCUAGGGGAGAUGUGUUGGUGUCUACCAUUAGGCUGGUCUAGGGGAGAUGUGUUGGUGUCUACCAUUAGGCUGGUCUAGUCUGGUCUAGGGGAGAUGUGUUGGUGUCUACCAUUAGGCUGGUCUAGUCUGGUCUAGGGGAGAUGUGCUGGUGUCUACUAUUAGGCUGGUCUAGUCUGGUCUAGGGGAGAUGUGCUGGUGUCUACCAUUAGGCUGGUCUAGUCUGGUCUAGGGGAGAUGUGUUGGUGUCUACCAUUAGGCUGGUCUAGUCUGGUCUAGGGGAGAUGUGUUGGUGUCUACCAUUAGGCUGGUCUAGUCUGGUCUAGUCUGGUCUAGUCUGGUCUAGUCUGGUCUAGGGGAGAUGUGCUGGUGUCUACCAUUAGGCUGGUCUAGUCUGGUCUAGUCUGGUCUAGUCUGGUCUAGGGGAGAUGUGUUGGUGUCCAGCAUUAGGCUGGUCUAGUCUGGUCUAGUCUGGUCUAG